rnacentral:pre_miRNA from 1 species
UAAAUACUACCUCCGUUCCAUAUGAAGUGUCAAAAUAUUACAUGUAUCUAUACGUUUUUAGCUAUAGAUACAUCCAUGUUUGAGAGAAUUUGAGACACUUAAUAUGGGACGGAGGGAGUAAGAC